AUUGAACGCUGGCGGCAGGCUUAACACAUGCAAGUCGAACGAGUGGCGGACGGGUGAGUAAUGCUUGGGAAUCUAGCUUAUGGAGGGGGAUAACUACGGGAAACUGUAGCUAAUACCGCGUACCAUAGGAUGAGCCCAAGUGGGAUUAGGUAGUAGGUGGGGUAAAAGCUAACCUAGGCGACGAUCCUUAGCUGGUCGGAGAGUAGGAGCAGCCACACUGGGACUGAGACACGGCCACGAUUCCUACGGGAGGCAGCAGUGGGGAAUAUUGCACAAGGGGCGCAAUCCUGAGGCAGCCAUGCCGCGUGUAUGAAGAAGGCCUUAGGGUUGUAAAGUACUUUCAUCGGGGAGGCGUUACCCGAAUAAGAAGCACCGGCUAACUACGUGCCAGCAGCCGCGGUAAUUC
rnacentral:rRNA from 1 species